UUAAGUUAUUAAGGGCGCACGGUGGAUGCCUUGGCACUAGAAGCCGAUGAAGGACGUUACUAACGACGAUAUGCUUUGGGGAGCUGUAAGUAAGCUUUGAUCCAGAGAUUUCCGAAUGGGGAAACCCAGCAUGAGUUAUGUCAUGUUAUCGAUAUGUGAAUACAUAGCAUAUCAGAAGGCACACCCGGAGAACUGAAACAUCUUAGUACCCGGAGGAAGAGAAAGAAAAUUCGAUUCCCUUAGUAGCGGCGAGCGAAACGGGAAGAGCCCAAACCAACAAGCUUGCUUGUUGGGGUUGUAGGACACUCUAUACGGAGUUACAAAGGACGACAUUAGACGAAUCAUCUGGAAAGAUGAAUCAAAGAAGGUAAUAAUCCUGUAGUCGAAAAUGUUGUCUCUCUUGAGUGGAUCCUGAGUACGACGGAGCACGUGAAAUUCCGUCGGAAUCUGGGAGGACCAUCUCCUAAGGCUAAAUACUCUCUAGUGACCGAUAGUGAACCAGUACCGUGAGGGAAAGGUGAAAAGCACCCCGGAAGGGGAGUGAAAUAGAACCUGAAACCGUGUGCUUACAAGUAGUCAGAGCCCGUUAAUGGGUGAUGGCGUGCCUUUUGUAGAAUGAACCGGCGAGUUACGAUUUGAUGCAAGGUUAAGCAGUAAAUGUGGAGCCGUAGCGAAAGCGAGUCUGAAUAGGGCGUUUAGUAUUUGGUCGUAGACCCGAAACCAGGUGAUCUACCCUUGGUCAGGUUGAAGUUCAGGUAACACUGAAUGGAGGACCGAACCGACUUACGUUGAAAAGUGAGCGGAUGAACUGAGGGUAGCGGAGAAAUUCCAAUCGAACCUGGAGAUAGCUGGUUCUCUCCGAAAUAGCUUUAGGGCUAGCCUCAAGUGAUGAUUAUUGGAGGUAGAGCACUGUUUGGACGAGGGGCCCCUCUCGGGUUACCGAAUUCAGACAAACUCCGAAUGCCAAUUAAUUUAACUUGGGAGUCAGAACAUGGGUGAUAAGGUCCGUGUUCGAAAGGGAAACAGCCCAGACCACCAGCUAAGGUCCCAAAAUAUAUGUUAAGUGGAAAAGGAUGUGGCGUUGCCCAGACAACUAGGAUGUUGGCUUAGAAGCAGCCAUCAUUUAAAGAGUGCGUAAUAGCUCACUAGUCGAGUGACACUGCGCCGAAAAUGUACCGGGGCUAAACAUAUUACCGAAGCUGUGGAUUGUCCUUUGGACAAUGGUAGGAGAGCGUUCUAAGGGCGUUGAAGCAUGAUCGUAAGGACAUGUGGAGCGCUUAGAAGUGAGAAUGCCGGUGUGAGUAGCGAAAGACGGGUGAGAAUCCCGUCCACCGAUUGACUAAGGUUUCCAGAGGAAGGCUCGUCCGCUCUGGGUUAGUCGGGUCCUAAGCUGAGGCCGACAGGCGUAGGCGAUGGAUAACAGGUUGAUAUUCCUGUACCACCUAUAAUCGUUUUAAUCGAUGGGGGGACGCAGUAGGAUAGGCGAAGCGUGCGAUUGGAUUGCACGUCUAAGCAGUAAGGCUGAGUAUUAGGCAAAUCCGGUACUCGUUAAGGCUGAGCUGUGAUGGGGAGAAGACAUUGUGUCUUCGAGUCGUUGAUUUCACACUGCCGAGAAAAGCCUCUAGAUAGAAAAUAGGUGCCCGUACCGCAAACCGACACAGGUAGUCAAGAUGAGAAUUCUAAGGUGAGCGAGCGAACUCUCGUUAAGGAACUCGGCAAAAUGACCCCGUAACUUCGGGAGAAGGGGUGCUCUUUAGGGUUAACGCCCAGAAGAGCCGCAGUGAAUAGGCCCAAGCGACUGUUUAUCAAAAACACAGGUCUCUGCUAAACCGUAAGGUGAUGUAUAGGGGCUGACGCCUGCCCGGUGCUGGAAGGUUAAGAGGAGUGGUUAGCUUCUGCGAAGCUACGAAUCGAAGCCCCAGUAAACGGCGGCCGUAACUAUAACGGUCCUAAGGUAGCGAAAUUCCUUGUCGGGUAAGUUCCGACCCGCACGAAAGGCGUAACGAUUUGGGCACUGUCUCAACGAGAGACUCGGUGAAAUCAUAGUACCUGUGAAGAUGCAGGUUACCCGCGACAGGACGGAAAGACCCCGUGGAGCUUUACUGUAGCCUGAUAUUGAAAUUCGGCACAGCUUGUACAGGAUAGGUAGGAGCCUUUGAAACGUGAGCGCUAGCUUACGUGGAGGCGCUGGUGGGAUACUACCCUAGCUGUGUUGGCUUUCUAACCCGCACCACUUAUCGUGGUGGGAGACAGUGUCAGGCGGGCAGUUUGACUGGGGCGGUCGCCUCCUAAAAGGUAACGGAGGCGCUCAAAGGUUCCCUCAGAAUGGUUGGAAAUCAUUCAUAGAGUGUAAAGGCAUAAGGGAGCUUGACUGCGAGACCUACAAGUCGAGCAGGGUCGAAAGACGGACUUAGUGAUCCGGUGGUUCCGCAUGGAAGGGCCAUCGCUCAACGGAUAAAAGCUACCCCGGGGAUAACAGGCUUAUCUCCCCCAAGAGUUCACAUCGACGGGGAGGUUUGGCACCUCGAUGUCGGCUCAUCGCAUCCUGGGGCUGUAGUCGGUCCCAAGGGUUGGGCUGUUCGCCCAUUAAAGCGGUACGCGAGCUGGGUUCAGAACGUCGUGAGACAGUUCGGUCCCUAUCCGUCGUGGGCGUAGGAAAUUUGAGAGGAGCUGUCCUUAGUACGAGAGGACCGGGAUGGACAUACCUCUGGUGUACCAGUUGUCGUGCCAACGGCAUAGCUGGGUAGCUAUGUGUGGACGGGAUAAGUGCUGAAAGCAUCUAAGCAUGAAGCCCCCCUCAAGAUGAGAUUUCCCAACUUCGGUUAUA
rnacentral:rRNA from 1 species